GUAAUCUUCAUGUUUGACUAUAAAUAUGCUUAUUUGCUGCUAUCAUGGCUUUCUGUGUUUAUGGUUUGAAGUGAUUUUUAUUCUUUCCUAUAUUGGACAAUGUGUUGUAAUAAUUUGUAUUUAUUAAAUAUUUCUUUUAUGUCAGCCAUUAUUCUGAGUUCUUUGCAUUUAUUAAUUCAGUCAACAACCCAGGCCCACGAGAUAGUACCUAUGCAGAGAAUACCUUCUGAGAGGAGAAAUAACCUUGCUCAAGAAUACCUAGACAGUAAGGGGCAGAGCUAGGACUCCAACCCAGGCAGCCUGACCUCAGAGCCCACCGCUUUUCCUCUCUGCCACGAAGCCACUAAAGAGACAGUUUUCUAGCAAAGACAUGUUUCUGCAACUCUGGGAACGUAUUCAUGGUUUCCUUAGACCUAUUGAGUUUUGUGUGCUUACUGGUAUAAUAGCAGAAUUCUAACAUAACUGUAAAGCAAAACUUGUAAUUACUGGUACUAAAAGCCGGUUUCACUCAAACAUCAUUGAGAUCUCUAAGUAUUUUGCAGAAUGAGUCCUAAGAAAUCUUAAUAGCCAAUAGAAAUAGCCUAAUUGUUUUAAAAUUUUGUUACUUUAAAUAAUGUUUUUAAUUUCUACAACCUCCCCCAGAUGAAGUUUAAAUUUUUAAGUGGCUGGGAAUAAACUUCUCCCUUGUAACUUCACGAUUUGUUCGAAGAGGAAAAGAGCAAAGGUUUCAGUUACGAAGUAAACAGUCUAUAAAUGUACAUCCUGUCUGAAAAAGCACAGAAGAUGAAACCAAAGGAUGUCAAGACUGAGGAGCAGAAGGUUCACGUUUCACAAAUGCCUUUGUUCUUUGAGACAUUUCUGUCUCACCAGCCUUAUAUCUUCUUUUCCCCUUUUUCAUAGCUUUUCUUCUUUUUUCAUAAAUUUUCUAUUUCUGUUUCUCCUGUGUCUCAUUUCUGAGUCCCUUUAUGGCUGUGAACAAAAUUUGGGAUUAAACAUGUAUGUUAAGUGACGAUAUUACAGAAAAAAAAAAUUAAAAUAAUAAGCUUCCUUUUCCUUUCCUUGUUUAUCUGCUUUAUUAUUUUAUAGUUUUUCUGUAAUGUCUUUACUUAACAGUUUUCUUACUAAACGGAUUAUCAAAUGCUUUAGGAGGCAUACUUAAGGCAUAAAUUAAGAGGAGGUAGUUUUUGUAUGUAGGCAGAACUGAGAAUUGAAAAGAGAGCAAAAGAAAAGUAAUGUGAAAACCCUCAGAGGUGUCUACUGAACUCGUGUCCAACUGGCAUGAAUAUUUUGACAAAAUUGUCCAGCUAAGGGACUAGAUGAUCACCAUUGUGACCAAUCUAGUCUACCAAUCCUGGUCACAGGACGCCAAAAUACUUGACAUCAACAAAAAAACAAAACCUUUUAUCUGACUGUAUCACCAGCCCAAACAACCUGGCUAUUUAGGACAACCCUACCUAAAUGUGGCUCCCUUGUGGAAAUUUGCAUUUCAAGAAACCCUCUCAUCAGUUCUGCAUACCAGCCCUAAGAAAAUAUAUGGUAAAGGUCCAUGGUAAGUAAUAAGUAGGGCAUUUCCUUCUCCUGUGGUCAAAGGCGGAAGAUGUUCAUUAUGAAAUCACAGCCGAAACAAGUACUCUUGCCUUUCCAAACAUGCAAGUGGCUCAUGGUUAGUGCUUCUUCGUGGCUGUGUCAUCAGUACAAUGCAUAGUAUUGUUAUUUUUGUCUAAAGUGCUUGAAGACCUUUGAAAGGCCGUGUUUUGUCAGCAUACUUCAACUGCCUUAACGAAUGUUCUCGAAGAUAAGAACGCACACCACAUGACGAAGCUGUUUCGGUGCUCGGCAGACAUGGCCUCAGGAGGAGAACAGACGUCAUUAUGGAGUUCCUGGAUGGUGCAGAUGCUUCAUGUACUUGGCUGCCAACCAAAAGGUUGGAGAUUCAAGUGCACCCAGUGGCACCUCUGAAGAAAGGGCUGGCAAUCUACUUUCAAGAAAUCAUCCACUGACAACCCUACUCUCGCACAUGUGGAAUCACCAUGAGUCAGAACUGGAAGCAACGGUUUUUUUCGAUGCCAUUGUGUGCUUCUAUUUUUCAGCCUUAGAAUUCCUUCUGUGAAACAGCCUUGUAUUUCUUGGAUUCAUAUUUUUAAAAGUUACUUAGAGUUAGAGUGUAAGGCACUGAAGAAGAAGCAGCAAACCAACCAAAUCCAGGUCACAGAAAUAUUUUGUUUAGCUAGUGCAGGUGUUGUUUUUGUUUUUCUAUUUUUAUUCGGAUGUUUGCUUUUCACUAAAUUUGAGUGACUUUUUAAAAAAGCAGACAGCCUCAAAUUGAUCAAAGGUAUCCUCUAUUCUCUACGUUUUUGUUUAUUUGUUUAGUCUUUCUUUUUUUGUUGUUCAUUUUAUUGUGGUAAAAUAUAUAUAAAAUAAAACGUGCCUUUUUAACCAUUUUUAGGUGUACAUUUCAGUGACAUUAAUUACAUUCACAACGUUAUAAAACCAUCACCACUAUUUCCAAAACCUUUCCAUUACCUCAUACAGAAAUAUUCUGUACCUUCUAGGCAAUAGCUCCCUAAUCUUCCCCCUCCCCGCUCCGCACCCCCACCACCAGCUCCUGGUAACCUCCUUGCCUGUUCUAGAUAUUUCAUGUAAGUGGAAUCGUACAGUAUUUGUCCUUUGACGUUUGGGUUCUUUCACUUAGCAUACUGUUCUCUAAAUUCAUCCACAUCAAAGAACUUCAUUCCUCUUCAUGACCGAAUGCUAUCAAAUUGUAUGUCUAUAUCACAUUAUAUUUAUUCAUUCAACUGUUGAUAAACAACUGGGUUAUUUUUGGCUAUUGUGAGUAAUGCUGCUCUGAACAUUGGUCUACAAGUAUCCGUUUGAGUGCCUGUUUUGACUUUUAGGGAGUAUAUACCUCUCUAUGCCCUACUUUUUUACAAGGCCCAAUUCCAUACCAAGGUAGGCAGUAGAGUUUGUAGUAGAUGGUUGCUGUUCCACUGAAUAAUAGACCUUGCUUUGCUAAGUGAAGUUUUCAUGGAGCUGAAGUGGCCAAGACAACAGAGAGUGUGAGGGAAGGAUAACAAUGACAGUUGAGGCUAGUGGCAGAGGGAGGAAAUUUGAGAAGGACAACUGGACUAUCUACAAGAGAAUGCUCUUAAGUUUCUACUGGACUCUGAACAAUAUUUUUAGUUAAAUAUCAAUUUCUCAUGAUAUUUGUAAAAUUGUAUGCAUUCUGGGGAACCAACAAAAUACUGAGUAUCUUGGCACAAGGCAAGGGCUAAGGAUAUUUUCGACCAUGUUUGGGUAACAUUAACACUAAAGGGGAAGCCCUGGCACUGGGGUUUUCUCUCUAUACAAGGUAUUGCUUGAAAGUUUCCUACCACACAACCAAGGGAGUCAACUGCAUUUAGCUGUCGAUAGGAAUUGGGCACACGACCAAGGCUUGGCCAAUUGGAUGCUUCUGCAGGGACUUGGAAAUGUAAGAGGGUGAAACACAAGGACACAGUAACAGUCAGAGAUUACUUACAGCUCAGAACCCCCCAAAAAACCCCACUGCCAUCUAGUCAAUUCCAACUCAUAGCGUCUCUAUGGGAGAGAGUAGAACUGCCACUUAGAGUUCAUCCCAGGCAAAUAUCCAGCUCAAAGCAAAAACUUUCAAACAGCCCAGGAAAUUCAGAAUAGAUCCUUUAGUUAAUCAGUUCCAACAGAGACCAAAAUAAUUCAACCAACUUUUUUCCAAAGUCAUUUAGAAGCUUUGUCAAUGAAAAGUGCUCAAAAUAAACUUUAUAAAAACAAAAUUUUCUAGGGAAGUGUGACUUUUAA